AACAUAACCUUUAGCAAAGUAAAUAUUAAAGGCAACUCCUGCCCAGUGAGACCCACUUAAACGGCCGCGGUACCCUAACCGUGCAAAGGUAGCAUAAUCACUUGUCUAUUAAUUAUAGACUGGCAUGAAAGGAUGAAUGAGGGCCAAACUGUCUCUUGUAAUAAAUCAAUAAAACUGAUCUCCCAGUCCAAAAGCUAGGAUAACCAUAUAAGACGAGAAGACCCCGUGAAGCUUCAGGAAAACAUCACAACCAAUGAUAGCAAACCUUUAGUUGGGGCGACUUUGGAAAAAAACACAACUCCCAAGAACACCAGACCUUGAACCUACACACAGGCUAACACGCCACAAUACGACCCAGUAAUACUGACCACCGAAACAAGUUACUCCGGGGAUAACAGCGCCAUCUUCUUCAAGAGCCCAUAUCAAAAAGAAGGUUUACGACCUCGAUGUUGGAUCAGGACACCCAAAUGGCGCAGAAGUCAUUAAAGGUUCGUUUGUUCAACGAUUAACAGUCCUACGUGAUCUGAGUUCAGA
rnacentral:rRNA from 1 species